GUAAUUUCAAUACUCGUACUAGAAUCAAGAAUCAAAUCAAAACUCGUCAAUUCUAAGUUCUAGUAAUCAAAACCGCUUAAAACUUAAGCAAAGUUUAAGUUAAUUGUUUGAUUAUUCAUUGCAGUACUUUAACCACUCCAAUUAGAACUCUUCAUAUACUUAGUAGAAAGAAAAGUUGAUCGGUGUAUGACUAGGAUCAAACCAUAUAACGUUUGGCUAUCUUGAACUUGAAAGGCCCGAUUUAUCUUUCUCAAUUCAAUCCAAUACAAUUUUCUAGUAAAAGUAAAUGGUAAAUUGUAGUUUUAUACUUACAAAAUUUCGUUAUCUUAUGUGUUUUUAUGCAAAACCUUUCUACCUUUUGGUAUGUUUUUAACUGUCCAUUAGUUUACCUUUCAAUCUUUCAAAUACGUAUAGUUAAUGUUGACCUCGGAAAUUGGACCCUCCACGUGACCAACCGAUAGCGGUCCUCAGAGUAAAUUGGGGGUGGCGGAAUGGUACAAAUCAAAUUGGCAGCUGAUCUUCUGACAGAGGUCCCCGGAGUACAUUUCGUCUCGGAUUCAGAGGCGAGGGCGCUUCGGUCAGUCCCGCAGAAUUGUCUAUGCCUCGUAGUGUGAUAGCAGAUCGUCACCAUUGAUGAAGUCACUUCGGAACCACUUCGGAUGAGUGUUCCAUACCUCGCAUGAUGUGGUGGUGGACAUUCCGAAGUGGUUCAGAUAGGAGCAUAACAGUGGUUCCUCAAGUCCAGAUAUGAAUAUUUAUAUCAUGGGUGGACUUGUCUUCCCAAUCGAGUAUGUAUGCCUCGGGAUGGGGACCGUGAUUUGUGAGAACUUGAGGAUCGAUCUUCUGUGUUCGCCGAAGCGUUGAUCCUAGGUAGAUGCGCUAAAGUUUCGCCACUGCGUAAGGGAAAAAUUUAUGUGAGAUCAAGGUACUGUCCAACUGGACGAUGCGUAGGGAGACGGUCAACGUAGCGAUCGAGGUGAUGACCCAUAGGGGACUCUGCGUCAAGUGCGUCUAAA
rnacentral:lncRNA from 1 species